AUCCAAAUAGCUUAUACUAGAGUUUGACAUUGAAGAUGUUAUGGAGAUUAUUAAAUCUUUGGAUAU
rnacentral:tRNA from 1 species